AAAUUUAAAAACAAUAAUCAAAUUAAUGCAUUUUUAAUUUUAAAAUGUUAUGUCCAAAACUAUUAACCAUUCAAUCUAUUAAAAAUAAAAAAUUAGUAAAAUGAAAGUUAUAUUUUUAAAUACAAAAAAUUUGAGAAAUAAAAAAUUUAAUAAUUUUUUUUCAAAAUCUAAAUAUCCGAACCCGAUCCGAAAUAACUGAAUCCAAACUAAAAAUACCUGAACCCGACCCGAAGUUCAAAAAUACCCAAACGGGCUCUACACCUCUAUACCGAAAUACCC
rnacentral:lncRNA from 1 species